rnacentral:lncRNA from 1 species
UCCCAUUUUAGAGUUUGUUUUUUUUUUUUAUGUUGCCGCAUUUAAUGUAUUCCCGGCACGUUGCACGGGUUGUAGGACGAAAGACGGGGCGUGGCUGGGGAUAAUAGACAAUUAAUUGGCCACAUCAUGGGCCAAUUUAUGAAUUUGCAAAGUCCCUGCCCGGAUCUGUCGCUGCCAUUUAAAAACAUUUUGAGGGUAGCAAAUUCUAUUUUAUCUACUAACAAAUAUUUAACGUUCAUUAUGACUCGUGGCAAAAUUUGAAGACAUUUAAUCCAGUUGUCCCAUCCACAAAUGGAAAUGACAAAUAAGCGACUACCAGCUGCUGCUGACCCCAGGCUCGCUUGGGGCUCGCAAUAUGUUUGCAGCCACUCAGGAGAGGACACAAAGUAGUUUUGCAUCGUAAUGCAAACAAAAGCAAUCGAAGAAUCCAAUUCGAACACUUGUGUAAAUCGCAUUUGCAGUGAGUAUUAUUGUCUAAAGUGGAAUAUUUCAAUGGGCCAGAGAGUGGAGCUUUUGGGACUGACUGCCAAGCCAAACAUGUUCGAAAGUGCUGCACGAAUUUCAUGGUCAAGGUCCAAGCUCACAUCACACAUCCGCUCAUCCGCACAUCCAGGCAGCUAGUAGCUGAAGGAUGAGGAGACCACAAAGAGAUAAACGAGACUGAGGCCGAACAAAUGAAUCAUUCGACACUCGAGCACGCGAUGUUCGGUUGCGAUUCAUGGCAGGAAGGAUAAGCAAAUAAUAAUUCAUUUUGGACACCGUUGCAAUUAUAGCUGCGAUUAGGCAAAGAUCCACAACAUUUCGUUACUUGUACAAGGAGUUCUGCGUUCAAAACCAUUCCCAGAUCUGACAUCUGCGGUUGGCACUUGAAAAUAUCUAGCAACAAAUGGCAUUUGGCACAUUUUAGCAGCCUAGCAACGAUGCCGGCCAUGACGAUGCCUGUCGGUAGCUGCUUGCUGGCUGCGUGUGGCCGACUCAGCGCUGAGGUUAUUCCAUUGACCAAGUCAAUUUAGCAAAUGGCUUUAGAGUGUGUGUAGUGUGUGUAGUGUGUGCAUGUGUAACGUGCGGGCUAACACACGAUGUCACAUUACAUGGCUACUUAGCUAUGAAAAGCAUUUCAAGUGCUCGCGUGUUGCCUACGGCGAUGCGAUGUGGCGCGAUGCGGUGCAGUCCUUCCUCCUGCGGUUGCUGUUUUGAUACCCUUUAAUUCUGCUCAAGUGCAUGGGGUAUUACUGAUUAAUAUUGAAUCAAAUUGACAUCAUUCCAUCAUUUUUCUAGAUUUUUACGAAUAAAUGCAGCUGGAAUUUCAUGCAAUUUAAAUGCAUUUUGAUAUUUACUUUCCGUUUGGAAAAUGGAUGAUGGGCAUGCCCUGGUCUAGUGCUAUUUGUCUUGUUGUUGCGCAAUAGUUGUAGUGGUUAAUCAAGUAGUUGCUGCUGCCUGCUGGCUGCUGCUCGGCUUUUGUCUAAUUGCAUUGGGGAGCCGGACUCAGAGCCAGAACCAGACCCGUACCGGACCCCCAUCGCAUGAUACUUGAAUGCAUUAAAGCCGAACCUCAAGAGAAUUUCAACAGCACACACUCCAUCCUAUGAUUGAGUGGCAACACUCCCUGUAUGGACAUUAUAUGUCAUUAUCAAAUUCUAAUUGGAUAGCUUAACAGUUGCAAGUGGUGCUGGUGGUGGGGGCAACAGAUGGAGCAGGACUUGCAGAUGGGAAUACCAGCAGAAUUAAUAAUAGUACUUGCAUAUCAGCUGCAUUAGAUGGAGCUGGAGAGGGUACAUGUAUGAGUAACAACAGCCAAGGGACUGGCACUAAUCAAUGUCUACAAUAAUAGCAACGCAGUGGCUGCUGCCACUACCACCACCACAUCCGCAUCGGCAACCACCACAACCACCUCCGCAGCGGCCACCACAACUACGGCCGCCUCAGACACGACCACAACCGCAGCCUCAACCUCUGGGGGCAAGAAGAAGGUGCGCCACCACAAGCGCAAGAUCCACGGGGGCAAGAAGAGGAUCGUCCGCCGCAGGAACAGGAAUAGGAACAGGAAAAACAAAGCCUAAGCCUGAUACUUGACACCAAUCAUAACGCUGAUCCCGAUCCCUAGCGCAUCCCUGUUACCGUAAUUCUGUUUAGU